rnacentral:rRNA from 1 species
AUUGAACGCUGGCGGCAGGCCUAACACAUGCAAGUAGAACGAGUGGCGGACGGGUGUGUAAUGUCUGGGAAAUUGCCUGAUGGCGGGGGAUAACUACUGGAAACGGUAGCUAAUACCGCAUAACACCAGAUGUGCCCAGAUGGGCGUAGCUUGUUGGUGGGGUAACGGUUCACCAAGGCCACGAGCCCCAGCUGGUCUGAGAGGAUGACCAGCCAAACUGGAAAUGAGACGAGGUGCAGACUCCUACGGGAGGCAGCAGUGGGGAAUAUUGCACAAUGGGAGCAAGCCUGAUGCAGCCAUGCCGCGUGUAUGAGGAAGGCCUUCGGGUUGUAAAGUACUUUCAGCGGGGAGGCGUUACCCGCAGAAGAAGCACCGGCUAACUCCGUGCCAGCAGCCGCGGUAAUAC